rnacentral:lncRNA from 1 species
UUUCUUUUUUUUUUUUGCAAUUGGAGCCUUUCUGUUGGUGCCAGCUGCUUAGUCGUAGGUAUCUUGUGGGACGUGGUAUCUGUCAGUAAGCCCCACGUGGGUGCCCCCUUGGCUAUCUCUCAUAGCCGCCCUUCUAUAAAUCACAGCAUAUUAAAAAAAAAAGGGGGGGAUAACACUGACAUGUGAACUAAUCCCCACAUCAAAGAGAGCAACUCUCCCUCCUCUAAACACCCGCCCCCCUCCUUUGCUGGGAAAAGUCUAAUGCCUAGAAGGUGAUUUACACAAAACUCCAUCCUGGUUGUUAGGAAACUUGCAGUGCCACUUACUCGCCAACUGCAGAAGAAACCUGGGAAUCAGGGUAACCACAAUAGCUAGCCUGCGGCUUCCAGCAUUUGGCAAUUCAGGAGAGAAAAAAAAUCAAUUGGCUUGUUGCAGCAAACUUGUGUCUAUGUUGAUUGCAUGGCAGGAUAGGCAUGUAUAUAGACAGAUGUAAACGUGACUAGCAAUGUAGGUCUGUAUGGGCACAUAUACAUCUGCAUGUGUCUACAGGUACUUAUACAGGCACAGGAGUACCUGUCCUGACACAUGCAUGAACACACACAGAUGCACACAUAAAUACCUCUCUCUCUAGCUCCUAGGAGCAAAGAGGGCCAGCAGCAGAUAUAUAUGAAAAACAUAAGCCCAUAUGGGCAUGCAACUGUGCAUCAGGUGUCCUAGACAUGGAGGUGGCUACCUGUCUGUAGCAUAUGCUCUCUUAAAGUAUUCAUUCCUGCCACAGGUCUGGUUUUGACCUAAAGGUUCAAAUGCUAGGAAUAUAUAGAUAAGGGGAAUACUUCUAUAUGACAGGAUUAAAACAUAAACUCUUUCCUACCCUUGCCUUUGCAAAUGCUCCCUGUGCACUAAGCACACAAGAUACUUCCAAAUAAUUGACUGUCUCUGGAAUGCAACUGAAGUGAGGAAAAACUAUGUCUCUCUGGCUAGAUAACUCUCUUUUUCCAAAUCAGCGCCAAGUCUGUGCCUGUGCUGAGCACACUCCUUUAGACGUACCACAAAGCAUAUGUAGCAGAGACAAUUUUACUGAUAGUUCUGUAUUUGCAAUCAGUAAGCAAAAGUACCCACUGUAUGUGAAAUAAGCUGUAUUAAUGUGAAUUUCUAUGAGUAUAUAAAUGCAUGUAAAC